rnacentral:lncRNA from 1 species
AAUGUUUCAAAACUGCUCUAUCGAAAGUUAAGUUCAACUCCAUGAGAUAAAUGGCAACUCCGUGAGAUAAAUGACAAAUAAACUUGUCAGAAUGCUUCUGCCUAGUUUUAAUGUGAAGAUAUUUCCUUUUCCACCAUAGGCCUCAAAGCGCUCCAAAUGUCCACUUGCAGAUUCUACAAAAUGAGAGUUCUCAAAACUGCUCAAUUAAAAUAAAGUUUCAGCUCUGUGAGAGGAAUGCGCACAUCACUAAGCAGUUUCACAGAAUGCUUCCAUCUAGUUCUUAAAUGAAGAUAUUUCCUUUUCCACCAUAGGCCAAAAAGCGCUCCAAAUGUCCAUUUGCAGAUAUUACAAAAAGAGUUUUUCAAAACUGCUCAAUGUCUGUUCAUGUACUUCCGCCACUUUCUGAUGAGGUUGUUUGUUUUUUUCUUGUAAAUUUGUUUGAGUUCAUUGUAGAUUCUGGAUAUUAGCCCUUUGUCAGAUGAGUAGUUUGUGAAACUUUUCUCCCAUUUUGUAGGUUGCCUG